rnacentral:rRNA from 1 species
GAUGAACGCUGGCGGCAGGCCUAACACAUGCAAGUCGAGCGAGCGGCGGACGGGUGAGUAAUGUCUGGGAAACUGCCUGAUGGAGGGGGAUAACUACUGGAAACGGUAGCUAAUACCGCAUACCAUCAGAUGUGCCCAGAUGGGAUUAGCUAGUAGGUGGGGUAAUGGCUCACCUAGGCGACGAUCCCUAGCUGGUCUGAGAGGAUGACCAGCCACACUGGAACUGAGACACGGUCCAGACUCCUACGGGAGGCAGCAGUGGGGAAUCUUCCACAAUGGGCGAAAGCCUGACGGAGCAACGCCGCGUGAGUGAUGAAGGUCUUCGGAUCGUAAAGCACUUUUAUUAGGGAAGCGGUACCUAAACAAAAAGCACCGGCUAACUACGUGCCAGCAGCCGCGGUAAUAC